GACAACAUUCCCAACUCCUUUAGGCCCAAGAGAGGGGCUGAGGAACAAGGUCAGUUUAAAGCAAUGCAGUGCUCUAACGACAGCUCUGGCAAACACUUCCAGAGCUCUGCCCCCAUGGCUCUGUGCCCAGCCACACCCUUCCCUAGUUGAAGUGAUGAUAACAGAACCCUCCUUCCCCUCCCAGGCAGCGACAGUGGUAUGAUGAUCCUUUCUACACCAAAGAAGCAGCAAGAUGGGUCCCUCUGCCUCCUAAGAGGCAGGAGUGGCAGCAAUCCCCCACACCCCACCACCACUAAUGUUUACCCCAAUAACCAGGGUCUGUUUUGGUUGGUGGGCAAGGCCUACUGCAUUAUUCUUCUGCUACAUGCAGAGUCCUCUGCUGGGUCGGCCUUGUUGGGGGCACCCAGAGCCGCAAGCCAUUUUGAUGCAUGGGACAGUGCACAUCACUCAAAGCUGUCGUUUCAAGCUGUCUGCAGAUUCAGAAAAACAUCUCUGCAUCAGUUACAGUUGGGGGGCAUAGCCCAUACAGCUUCAAAAUUUUCUUCACAACUAUGAAAUCUAGCAACUUUCCUUUAAAAAAAAGAAAAAAAGAACUGAGAUUCAGAUGUAAUCACAAAACUCUAGGAGCAGAGGUCCUUUGCAUACACCUCUGGUGCCUAUGUAGGGUGGUCAACUUUCUAAUCUGUGAAAACGGGACAUUGAGUGCCAGAACUUCCCCUGCCUCCUGCUCCGCCUCUUCCCUCGAGGCCCUCCCCGCCACUCCUCUUUCCACCCCACUGUCACUUGCUGCUUUCUCCAUCACCCUCCCCCUGCCAGCUGAGCAGGGUUCUAGGGGUGGAAGUGUGCCUGGGCAAGACGCUGGAGAGAGAGAGAGAUGGACGCUGAGGGUAAAAGGCCCAACCUCAUCGGACACUGAGGGACUAGAGUCUACAUUCUUCUGCAGACGCAUGCAGUUUCUGGAAGAAAACAGUGUCCUGUUACAGGGAGGCUGCUGGUUACUUCUGAAAGCAGGCAGUGUGCCACCCCUACUCCCAUCCCACCCACCAUGGUGAUGGAAAACCGAUAUGCUGCCCUGGCAACGAGCGAUGAGGAAUCGGCCCCAAAGCUGGAGAAGGAGAAGCCAUGUACCCCCAAGGCUGGAAGAAUCACAGCCACCGCUCCCAGGAGGAAACAUAAGAGUGAGGUAGAGCAACAAAAAAGCUGGCCCUGAAUUACUGACUACUAUGGCUGAAACCAACAUCCUAUAGUCGUUUUGGAAGAAGCAAGUCCACUGACUGUUUGCUUACACACCCAUUCAAGAACUGGUGCCUGCAUUCCACAUACAAUACCUUGACUGCAAGAAUAUUCUCAGUGGGACUUGAGUUCCAAAAGUAACUCAGCAACUAAAGCUGCCACUCACAAAUUCAUUUGUAAAUACUUAUUGGGCUAUUUUGAUGGAUGAUACAACACACAUUUAAUCUGUAAUUACAUUUUCUACUGCUUCCAUCUACUCAGGAAUCUUAUUGAUUAUUGCAGCUACAGUUGUACUUGGCCAAAGCUGCUUUUCUUUCCAAAACAAAUAACCUGUGUCACACAGGCAUUAAUUAAAGAACUGUAAUGAAGAACUGAAAUUAAACAGCGAAUAAAAUGCAUUUCAGACUAUAUUAUACAAAAGCAUUACAUUUCAAAGAUAACUGCACUGCUAUAACAUGGCCUCUGAUCAUCACCAAAAAACCAGAAGUUAGCCCAGACUGCAGUCCAGAAGAAAACUCUUUAAUGACUUUGAUAGACAGAAAAUGUUGUAAGCAGCCAGACAGCAGGUAGCCAAUGCAGACUGUUUUUAAAGCCAUGACGCCUGCCAAAAUUCAGAAGAAUACUUCACCCAUUGUUGGCCCAUGCUAUUCUCAAUAUUUUAUUUCCAAAUUCACGUCCACAGGAAGAAUCUGAAGGCAGACUCACAACGUAUGAAAAAACCACAAGAGAGAGAGCACAUUGUAUCCACUGAGAACAUUCACCAACACCAUCACCUGUCUGCCUCCUGUAGCUUGUUUCAGGAGCCCAAACAGCAGAGCGUCAGAGACUUUUGAAUGUGUGAGGUCAAUCUCGGUGAAUGACACAUUCUCCCAUUUUUCAAACCCACUCCUUUCCCAAAACAGGGAUUGUUCCUGCUUCAGGAUGCAACCAUUAACAGGACCACCAACAUUCCUCACUGCACCAUCACCUAGCCUGCAAAACUUUUUACCAGUGACCAGAAAGCAGGAAAAUCUCUCAUUACAGCCUCUUACCCAAACUGGCCGGUUGGGAAAUGAAGACCACUACAAAAGAGUCCAAAAAUAGCCAAAAGGCAAGAAUAUCCCUUUCAUGAUGUUCUCCCCUCUCCUGCGGAUCCAAGAAGCAAAAGACUCCACGUGACAGAACACCAGGUUGCCCCGGGAACACCCUUUCUCCAAGUCCAUAUUAUGUAUAGCCUUGGAGAAAAAAUGGGCAAGUUUCUUAUCUAAGUGAGGGCAUAAAGAGGAGCUAACGAUGUUGCCAAUUCAUGUAUGUAUUUAAGUGACAUUUCUGCUUGUACUUGAAACAUGCUAUUAUGUUUCCAGGAGUGAAUAAAGUUCAACAAUACAUAUAAAUGUGCACACGUACACCAACAUGCUGUGUGCCAAGGGCUAUAUAUUCAGCAAAAAUAAUACAUGGUGAACCUACAGUGAGGAUUAAUGUUGUCAGCUGCUAAACCAAAGACAAUGUGGUAAGCAAGGAGCUAGUAAUCUCAUUUAAAAAAACCCAACGUCUUAUAUUGGUAUUAUUGAACCAAAGCAAGAUCCUGUUAUGUACAAACCUAUGCAGAAAUGCACCAAUUUUCCCCUGAGUAAAUACACUAAUGGCCUAUAUAACUGAUGUUGGGCAGAAAACUGUACCUAAGGAUAUCUUGCUCAAUCAGUUUUGGAAAACUUCUGCUUCAAGACACUAAAGCUGUUCCAGCUGCUUUCUUUCACUGCAAAAACUGCUUGCAUUAUGUUUGAAAACUGUGUUAUCUUGAAAGCUUAGUCAUCAGUGAACAGUUUUAUAAGAAGAAAAGAUUAGAACAUAUGCACAGUGUUGUAUAAUUUUACUACUUGUUGACACCAAUACUGAACUUUUUAUUUUUUGUUUAAUAACAUUAUUUAAUGUUGUGCUACCAUACAUGUUUUCUAACAACAAUAUUUUAGCUAUGAAACUAUAUGCUUAAGUGCCUCCCUAUUUAGGGAAAACACUUAAGGAUGUGCUUAAAUCCCAUUGGCUUUCAUGGAACAUCCUGCUUUCCCGAAAAGGAAUCCUUUCCUGAAUCAUAGCCUCAGUGAACAACAAAGAAAAUAUAUAUAAGAUUAUCUUCUCAACAUCUGAUGCAGAAAUAUAUUGGUAAUAUUAACAGUUGUAUAUGUAAAUAUUUAUUAAGGAUAGCUAGCUAUUUAGAAUAGAUGUAUUUCUGAAGCACUUAUCACAGUAGAACCUGAGUGAUAAGCAAUAGGAAUGUUUACCUUGUGUGUUUUGCUGGAAGAUUUUAUUUAGGUCCAAGGAGG